rnacentral:rRNA from 1 species
GACGAACGCUGGCGGCGCGCUUAACACAUGCAAGUCGAGCGAAGCGGCGGACGGGUGAGUAACACGUGAGUAACCUGCCUUAGACAUUGGGAUAGCCUCCGGAAACCGGGAUUAAUACCAAAUGGUCUAAGGUGUACUCGCGUCCCAUUAGCACGUUGGUGGGUAACGGGCCACCAAGGCGACGAUGGGUAGCCGGCCUGAGAGGCGUAACGGCCACAUUGGAGCUGAGAAACGGUCCAAACUCUACGGGAGGGAGCAGUGGGGAAUAUUGCACAAUGGAGGGAACUCUGAUGCAUCGACGCCUCGUGAACGAAGAAGGCUGUCGAGUCGUAAAGUUCUUUUAUAUGGGAAGCGGUACCAUAAGAAAAAGCCCCGGCUAACUACGUGCCAGCAGCCGCGGUAAUAC